rnacentral:tmRNA from 1 species
GCCGGUUCGCCGGCUAUGGCGAUAAACGUGCUGUGAAAUAGGCAGAGCGGACCCGGGGGCGGUACCCGGCGCCUCCACCAUUUUAGCCGUGACCCGGAUGGGGUGAUAAUAACAGUUAUCCGGUCGGGCGGCUGAAAGCGUGGGGGCGAAAUAGGAUCGACGCAUGUAGUAAAGGCAGUAUUUUCGCCCGGUAUGGUACCCGCCGUUAUCGG